rnacentral:rRNA from 1 species
GGUGGUGCAUGGCCGUUCUUAGUUGGUGGAGUGAUUUGUCUGGUUAAUUCCGAUAACGAACGAGACCUUAACCUGCUAACUAGAUACUUUUAUUCUAUAAAUGCUAUCUUCUUAGAGGGACUAUGUAAUUCAAAUACAUGGAAGUUUGAGGCAAUAACAGGUCAGUGAUGCCCUUAUAUGUCCUGGGCUGCACGCGUGCUACACUGAUGCAUACAACAAGUGCCUAACCAGACAUGGUACGGCAAUCUCGAAUAUGCAUCGUGAUGGGGAUAGAUCUUUGCAAUU